rnacentral:tRNA from 1 species
UGAGUGUAUAGCUCAGUGGUAGAGCACCUGGCUUUUAAGUCUAGGUCGUCGUAGGUUCGAGCCCUACUACAUUCAA